rnacentral:lncRNA from 1 species
CGUUUGCGCGCAUUUGGGGAUUAAAAUGUUUUACGUUUGCGCGCAGCUUUUGAUUACAUUUGCGCGUAUUCAUUUUACGGGUAAACUCAGGUAAAUAAAUCCAUCAUAGAUACUAGGACUACAUUUUGUAUAUACGCCAGACGCGCGUUUUGUCUAUAAAAGACUCAUCAGUGACGCUCGAAUCCAAAAAAGUUAAAAAGGCCGAAUAAAGAACGAAGUUGAAG